GCCUUUUUUUCUUUUGGAUGGACUUCAGUCCGUUCUUCAUGGCCCUGCGAAUUAUACCUGAAGGCGCUACCCCGCUAAAUCUAAUCGUCUCCUUUGUUCAUCUGAUUUUGACUUCGGCGGCAAAGAUGAAUCUCAUCAUCUUCUUCUUGCUGUAAUUAGGUCAACCGACUAUGGAUUUCUGGAGGUGUAUUUGAGAAGAAUCUUGAUGGGUUCUCUAGAAGAAUGGUCUCUUCUGGAGAGAUUCUUUGCCAGGAGAUAAUUCUUCUGAAGAGUAAGCCAAGCAAGCUUCGUCUUCCAAUUACUGGAAUAGCUGUGGUUGAUAUUUUAGAUCUCAGGCAUACUGUUAGUUCAGCGAUUGAUUCGUGCAUGUUGUGGCGGAAUGAUGAAUAUCACUGCACAAGAAACAGUCCUGCUCAAACAAUGUCAAGGAUUCUUAUCAAGGUUCUGUGUUGAGAUGACUGUCUCGGAUGACUCUGCUGUGUUUGUAGGUUUUGCGAUGCAAUGGAGAAAUAUUCCUGCUCAGUGUCACAAAAUGUGAAGAAUACCCGCAGAACAUGGCCAUUCCACAAUGCCUAAGGAAUAUUAAGGGGGAGGAACUUCACAUUAGACCUCAAGAAUUCUCAGUUCAAUUUUUCAUCUAAGCAUCAGUUAUUUACCAUUGCACGCAAUUUUUUAUCGCAACCAGCACCCACCACAUCCUAAUUUUGGUAUUUAGAAAGGUCAUGACAACGCAUGCAAUGAUAUCUCAACUCUUGGAGCUCAUAAUGCUAACCUGUGGUGUCAACUACCCUGCAGGCUCUUCUAUUUCAAUUCUCAAAUUAAUAAGUUUUCCAACAACUCUUUGUUUAUGUGUUUUUAAUCAUUUAGUUUUAAACUUUUAAAACAAUCAUUCAGACUCUUGCAAGAAAACUAUAUUCUCUGCUUCAGUA